UGCGCAUGUCCAUGUCUUGAUCAAUUGCGUUGAAGUUAAACCAUACCUUGAGUAUGUCCUCAUCCCUUUUCUUAACUUUGUAAUAUUGACAUUUCUGUAGUCACUUAUUGUGUUCAUCAUAUUCAACAACUCAUUUGUUGUGGCUGAGCAUAUUCCAGAAGGAAGUUCUUCUGGCCGAAUUCACUCUGAGUUUUCGAAUUGGUUCAGAUAUCAAGUAUGUACAUGUUUCCUAGAGUUCAUUUAGAUGUACUACACUUCAUGUCACCUUUCAUUCCCCU
rnacentral:lncRNA from 1 species